GCCUGGGUGGCUCAGUCGGUUGAGCAUCCGACUUCAGCUCAGGUCAUGAUCUCAUGGUUCGUGGGUUCGAGCCCCGCGUUGGGCU
rnacentral:tRNA from 1 species